rnacentral:rRNA from 1 species
GAGCGUUCUGUAAGCCUGUGAAGGUGGCCUGUGAGGGUUGCUGGAGGUAUCAGAAGUGCGAAUGCUGACAUAAGUAACGAUAAAGCGGGUGAAAAGCCCGCUCGCCGGAAGACCAAGGGUUCCUGUCCAACGUUAAUCGGGGCAGGGUGAGUCGACCCCUAAGGCGAGGCCGAAAGGCGUAGUCGAUGGGAAACAGGUUAAUAUUCCUGUACUUGGUGUUACUGCGAAGGGGGGACGGAGAAGGCUAUGUUGGCCGGGCGACGGUUGUCCCGGUUUAAGCGUGUAGGCUGGUUUUCCAGGCAAAUCCGGAAAAUCAAGGCUGAGGCGUGAUGACGAGGCACUACGGUGCUGAAGCGACAAAUGCCCUGCUUCCAGGAAAAGCCUCUAAGCAUCAGGUAACAUCAAAUCGUACCCCAAACCGACACAGGUGGUCAGGUAGAGAAUACCAAGGCGCUUGAGAGAACUCGGGUGAAGGAACUAGGCAAAAUGGUGCCGUAACUUCGGGAGAAGGCACGCUGAUAUGUAGGUGAAGCGACUUGCUCGUGGAGCUGAAAUCAGUCGAAGAUACCAGCUGGCUGCAACUGUUUAUUAAAAACACAGCACUGUGCAAACACGAAAGUGGACGUAUACGGUGUGACGCCUGCCCGGUGCCGGAAGGUUAAUUGAUGGGGUUAGCGGUAACGCGAAGCUCUUGAUCGAAGCCCCGGUAAACGGCGGCCGUAACUAUAACGGUCCUAAGGUAGCGAAAUUCCUUGUCGGGUAAGUUCCGACCUGCACGAAUGGCGUAAUGAUGGCCAGGCUGUCUCCACCCGAGACUCAGUGAAAUUGAACUCGCUGUGAAGAUGCAGUGUACCCGCGGCAAGACGGAAAGACCCCGUGAACCUUUACUAUAGCUUGACACUGAACAUUGAGCCUUGAUGUGUAGGAUAGGUGGGAGGCUUUGAAGUGUGGACGCCAGUCUGCAUGGAGCCGACCUUGAAAUACCACCCUUUAAUGUUUGAUGUUCUAACGUGGGCCCCUUACCGGGGUUGCGGACAGUGUCUGGUGGGUAGUUUGACUGGGGCGGUCUCCUCCUAAAGAGUAACGGAGGAGCACGAAGGUUGGCUAAUCCUGGUCGGACAUCAGGAGGUUAGUGCAAUGGCAUAAGCCAGCUUGACUGCGAGCGUGACGGCGCGAGCAGGUGCGAAAGCAGGUCAUAGUGAUCCGGUGGUUCUGAAUGGAAGGGCCAUCGCUCAACGGAUAAAAGGUACUCCGGGGAUAACAGGCUGAUACCGCCCAAGAGUUCAUAUCGACGGCGGUGUUUGGCACCUCGAUGUCGGCUCAUCACAUCCUGGGGCUGAAGUAGGUCCCAAGGGUAUGGCUGUUCGCCAUUUAAAGUGGUACGCGAGCUGGGUUUAGAACGUCGUGAGACAGUUCGGUCCCUAUCUGCCGUGGGCGCUGGAGAACUGAGGGGGGCUGCUCCUAGUACGAGAGGACCGGAGUGGACGCAUCACUGGUGUUCGGGUUGUCAUGCCAAUGGCACUGCCCGGUAGCUAAAUGCGGAAGAGAUAAGUGCUGAAAGCAUCUAAGCACGAAACUUGCCCCGAGAUGAGUUCUCCCUGACUCCUUGAGAGUCCUGAAGGAACGUUGAAGACGACGACGUUGAUAGGCCGGGUGUGUAAGCGCAGCGAUGCGUUGAGCUAACCGGUACUAAUGAACCGUGAGGCUUAACCUU